UACGUAGGUGGCGAGCGUUGUCCGGAUUUACUGGGCGUAAAGCGCGCGCAGGCGGACUGAUCAGUCUGGGGUGAAAUCGCCCGGCUCAACUGGGCGGGGUCAGCGGAUACGGCCGCACUUGAGCAAGCUAGGGGGCAAUGGAAUUCCCGGUGUAGUGGUGGAAUGCGUAGAUAUCGGGAGGAACACCAGUGGCGAAGGCGGUUGCCUGGAGCUUUGCUGACGCUGAGGCGCGAAAGCGUGGGGAGCGAUCCGG
rnacentral:rRNA from 1 species